rnacentral:lncRNA from 1 species
AUGGUGCAAACCAGUAGUACCCACCCAAGGGAAUGGUGCCCUUCAGAGGGGAGGCCUGAGAGGCACAGCAGGCACCCAGCCAGACCCGAGAAGGGGGCCAGCACCUCCUUGGAAAAGCCCCUUCCUCAGCAGCUGUGCAUGACAAGAAAGAAGCAGAAAGACCCUUCCUUACCUGGGAAAAUGACCUUGUUGAUGAUCCUGGAUCCCCUGAUUCUAGACAUCAAAAUGGAGGAGGCAGAGGCUGGAGCAGGAGGUUCAGUGAAGAAUGGGUGGGGCCGGUCAAAGUCCCCAGUGAGGCUGCUGCCUCAAAGGCAGCCUGAAGACAGGAGGAGGUGCACAGAUAGGAACCCAGAUGUUCGGAAAGUCGUGCCAGGAGUAGUGGCUCAUGCCAAGGUGAGAGGAUUGCUUGAGCCCAGGAGUUCGAGACCAGCCUGGCCAACAUGGUGAAACUCCAUCUCUACAAAGAAUAAAAAAAAAAGAAAAAAAAAAAAAAAAAAAAAAAAAAAAAAAAAAAAAAAAAAGGAAAUAAAAAAAAGAAAGAGCUUUUCUUCUCAUCCAUUCAUUCAUUUAUUAUCAUUGUGAACUCAUGGAUUCUUAUUUUAUUCAGUGGGUCAUAAUCCAUCACUAUCAUGAUCUAUUUUGAUGCUUUAAUCAUCCCAGCGUUGUCCAGCAUUCUGUCCUAACAGCUGUUUCCCAUAUCCUUUGACAUAUCCCCAUUAUUUUGUGAGCACUUUCUUUUUUUAUUUUAUUUUUUAGUCAGAGUCUUGCUCUGUUGCCCAGGCUGGAGUGCUGUGGUGCGAUCUCAGCUCACCGCAACCUUCGUCCGCCUCCUAGGUUCAAGCAAUUCUCCUGGCUCAGCCUCCCGAGUAGCUGGGACUACAGGCAUGCGCCACCAGGGCCGGGUAAUAUAUUUUGGUGUUUUUAGUAGAGAGGGAGUUUCACCAUGUUCGUCAGGCUGGUCUCAAAAUCCUGACCUCAAAUGAUAUGCCCUCCUUGGCCUCCUAACGUGUUGGGAUUACAGGCGUGAGCCCCUGCACUCGGCCUGUGAGCGCUUUCUUAUUUCCUGGCACAUCAAGACGUUCUGGGUUCCAUUGUACUUUCCCUGCCCCAGCCCUGCAAUCAGGCCUUUCUUCAAGGAGCCAGGUUCUUUUCCAUGAGGCACAGGUGUGAUCAUUCCCAUGGAGAUGUCAGUGUUUCUAGGCUGUUCCCGUGUGCAGAGCUAGGAGCACACAUGCACACGUGCACAUACGCACAUAAACACAUAAA